GCCGGGCAUGGUGGCUCACGCCUGUAAUCCAAGCACUUUGGGAGGCUGAGGUGGGUGGAUCACCUGAGGUCAGGAGUUCUAGACCAGCCUGGCCAACAUGGUGAAACCCCGUCUCUA
rnacentral:SRP_RNA from 1 species